CCCUUAGAUGUUCUAGGCUGCACGCGUGCUACACUGAUAUUGCCAAUAUGUCAUUCUUAUCCGAAAUGGAUUGGGUAAUCAAGUAAUGAAAUUUCAUGCUUGGAAUCGGUAAUUGCAAUUUUAUCGUGAACGAGGAAUUCCUAGUAAGCACUAGUCAUCAGCUAAUGUUGAUUAUGUCCCUGCCCUUUGUACACACCGCCCGUCGCUACUACUGAUUGGGUGUUCAAGUGAGAUGCUUAGACCCUUGUUGCAUGGUUCAUUAUUGUGCUCCGAAAGGAAAAAGUUUCAAGCUUGAGUGUCUAGAGGAAGUAAAAGUCGUAACA
rnacentral:rRNA from 1 species